GUUUAUAAGCGUGAGCUGGUUAACAAGAGGUUUAAACAGGACCUUCACAAUCCUCACACACCAGCGCUGACUAGAAAUGGCAACAGGACCAAAAACAACAACAGAACCAGCAGUGGUCAAAAACAUGUAUGAACAGUUUGUUUUAAAAACAAAAAGAUACAAAACUAAAGAAGAUGAAGAAAAACAAAGAAAGGAACACAGAGAACGACAGCUGAACGAAAACCCAGAUGUUCUCUUCAGAAUUAAUAGAAAAGGAAAACUGCAUGUUCUGCUCUUCAGACCCACGAAUGACAGCUGGUGGAUAAGAACACUUAAAGAUGAAUAUCCUGACAUUUUUUCUCAGUGGACUUUUCAACAUGCUGAGAACGAGCCGAUUCGACAUGUGAUGAAUCUCUCUGGUAAACGGAAUUUAUUGGAAGAUUUCUGUAAAAAUUUUCCGAAAAAUAGUUUGAAGUCUCUUGUCAAUUUGGAGGAAGAUGAAGAACUGAGAGCAACAAUAGAAGAGCUGGAAGCAAAAAUAAAAGAUCUAAAAUUAGAAAACAAACAUUUGAAACAACAACUACGCAAGUAAAGAAGUGCUGCCAUAAACACAAGGAUAUCCCUGAUUCAAGCCAUGGAGAAGGCCUGACCUAACUGAUGCAGGGUCUGUGCAAGGAUGGAUUUGCUAUUUAAGAAGAUUCUUCCCUCGUUGUCUUGCGAGAGAGGACAUCGCCUGUGAUGUGGAUGAAGUGCUAUGGCUAGAUCCAGCUAGGCCAAGAGAUGAUGCUUAGGUGUUUUUUCUAUUUUAUUUUUAUUUAUUUUUUUUCAUUUAAAAUCAUGCUUUUGUUUUGUCUCCGCAAAUGUUUUUGUUUGUGUACUAUAUUGUAUUUAUAAUAUGUUCUGAUUUUCAGUGCAAAAUGUAACCUUUGGAAAUGCAUGGAUGUAUUCAAUAGUUUUACACUGUGGUGAGAAAUAAAUAUUUUCAACUGAGGUGUUCUGCUACUUGUGUGUGUGGAUCUGUGAAUUGUGUGUAGUGUUUUGACAAAAUGAGCCUUGUUUUUAAAAUUGUGCAUAACUAAUCGUAAAAAACUGCAAUUCAUGUUUCUUACAUUGUACAAAUGGUUAAAAUGUGUGAAAAUGAGUGGUUUGUUGGAUUUAUCUGUUUGUUACUUCCAUCAUAAAACUGACUUUAAAAGUAGAAUAACACUCUGCUUUAUUCAUGAAUGAAAGUGUAGCAAAUAUUUUUGACACUGAAUGUGUCUGUUUUAAGCUUUCAUUUGGUUCUAGUCGAGCUGGGUUAAGGUUUGUUCCAGAGAUAUACAUGUUGAAACAAGUUUUCUAAUGAUCAUAAUAUAUUCAUAAAGAUAAAUGAAAUGCUGAGAAACUCAUGUCAUGUACAGUACUUUCAAGAAGACUAAUGCAAGUGCAAACAGAUACACUAAACAUGCGGUCAAAAGUUCUGUAUGAAUAUACACUAUUAUUCACAUGCACAUAUUCAUCUAUAAGCAACUGUUCUGAAUUGAUUGAUUCAUGUUUACUCUGAAAUAAUAGUUAUGAGAUCAGGAAUAUAACAGCAGCUUAUCUGUUUUGUCUCUUCCACACAGAGAUCAUGUUAACGGGAACCCUUGAAGUCCUUCUGCAUCUUUUAUUUGUCUUUUCUGUCAUGUUUAGCUGGGAUCAAAUCUGCCACACAGCUGAAUAUUGACCACCGACCUUAUUUCAGCCAUUUAACCAAAAACCCAAUAAAAAAAGAACAUUGGCUGUUUCUCAUUCUCAUUGGCCGUGACUUGUGCGGACUUGAGACAGCCAGGAAUCCCAGAAUGCAUCUUGCACCAACCUGCACGAUUGUGAAAACAAAACUUUAGACAAGCAAACAAAACAUGUUAUUUACUAGAGGAUCAGACAAGAAGUUUUAUUGUUAUAAAUGAGUCACUUUAUAAAUGUCUAAAAUUAGUCUGUUAAAAAAUAUUUAUGAUACGUAUGAAUUUAAAUUAAUUAAUUAUGUAAAAAUUUCUUUCUGAAUGAAUCUUUUGAAUGAAUGAAAUAACUUUUGAAAUAGUUUAUAGUUUAUUUUUAAUAGAAAUAGAAGUUAAUCUUUUGAAAUAACUGUUGAUAGAGUGACACAAUUCAUGUAAAUGAAGAGUGACGCUGUAAAAAUGUUUUACAUGCAGAAUUUGAACAUGUGCACAAAGUAUAUGGUGAUAUUAAGAAGUUCCCUGACACAGUUAAUCCAAGAUAAACACUGUAAUAAUAAUGAUCACAGAGAACACUCGAGAGAAGAAACUUGUAACACUUUAAAUAACGAUGAGAAACGACAAAGGAAUGAACAAAACAGGAAGUGCUUACUCAUCUAGAUACAUGUGGGAUUCAUUAGUGAAUGAACAGGAGAACUUAGUAACUAUAGGAACUGAACAAAGGAAACAUGAACACAAACACUAUGAAACAACAUAAUCCUGACUAUAUGUAUUUAGAUCCUUUACUCGUUGUUUCUUUUAACCUCACUGUGAAUGUGUGUAUCAUGUGUGUUAAACACCAUUUUAAAGCCAUAAUCUUUAAUUACAUGCUACAAGUAUAUUAUUUAAGCUCAAACAUUUUAAUGAAGUUUCAUUUGCUGAUUUAAAUACAUGCAAACUGCCUCAAAAGCAUAGCUUGUGUCUGUUGCCUUAGAAAAUAAAUAAAUUUAUCAAAUGACUGAAUAAAAAUCUGGAAUUGAAUAAAAAGUAUGUGAUCUAAUGAAAGUAAAAUGAAUGCAUUGGAUUUUUAUGCUAAAACUGCUUCAUUGUCUUUGUGUUGUUUAUAAAUGACAUAUAAUUUGACUAUAAUACACACAAGAUCUGAUUGAUGGACACUUUGAGCGUUGUGUUUUGAGGUUUGUUUACUGAGAACUGAGGUCCAGUUUGAGAGUCAUGUGACCAACCCCUUCUUGAAAACAUGAACAUGUGGAUUCAAUUUCAUUUUAACAAAACAAGUUCCCGCCUUCUUCACUUUGUCUUGUGAUAAGAAGAUCAAGGAAGAGGCAGAAAUGUCAGCGGUCAGAGACAUGUAUGAAGGACUGGAUGUUGGAAACAUGACUGAAACUGAACAAAAGAGACACAGAAACAUCCAGAUCUUCUCUUCAGAGUCAGAUGAGGUCGUCUGCAUGUUCUGCUCUUCAGACCCACUGAUGGACUCCGGUGGAUGAGAUUAUUCAGAGACGGGAACCAAUAUGCGUAACCUGAGACAUUUGCGCAAUCACUAGAGUUUAUAAGCGUGAGCUGGUUAACGGGAGGUUUAAACAGGACUUUCAAAUUCUUCACAAACCAGCGCUGACUAGAAAUGGCGACAGGAAUAGCAGUGGUCAGAGACAUGGAUGAAGGGCUGGUUAUUGAAGAAGGACAAGAUGAUAAAAAAGAAGAAGAAAGAAAGCAACACAGAGAACGACAGCUGAACGAAAACCCAGAUAUCCUCUUCAGAGUUUAUAGACAAGGAAAACUUCGUGUUCUGCUCUUCAGACCCACGAAUGACUGCUGGUGGAUAAGAACACUUAGAGAUCGAUAUACUGGCAUCUUUGCUCAGUGGACUUUUCAACAUGCUGAUGACCAGCGGAUUCGACAUGUGAUGAAUCUCUCUGGUGAUCAGAGAAGAUUGCAGAGAUUCUGUGAUGACUUUCCAAACAAUCGUUUGACGUCAAGAUGAAGAUCUGAGAGCAACAGUACAAGAUCUGAGAGCAGCAAUAGAAGAUCUGAGAGUAGGAAUACAAGAUCUUAAAUUGGAAAAAACAACAUGUAGUCUACAAUGACACAAUUUAAGCAAGAGCUGCCAUAAACAAGAGAUGUUCAACAAAUCAUGACAACUGAGUCAAGCAGCCCGUCUCACCCUCCAGAACUUCAGCUAUUAUCAUCUGAAAACAUUAUUGUUCAUGUUUAAGUUAAAUAAAUGCUGAGAAAACUCACCCCAUGUAACAGUGCAAGUUGUGUUUCAUCAUCAUAUAACAGCUGUUCUAUUUUCCUGAGAAUUGGUUCAUGUUUACUUUAUAAUAAUUGAUACACAUGAUUAUGAAUAUAAAAGAAGUUUUUUUUUUUUUUUUUUUCAUCUCUUGCACACAGAGAUCAUGUUUUUACCUGAAAAAUAUGAAUUUCUUGUAUUUCUCUUUCUCUGUCAUGUUCAAGCCGGACAGCUGUGAUUAAAUCUGUCACACUUUAUACUCUAGAUUAUGUUUCUCAGGGUGUGGUUAUUGGUAAAAAUGCAUUUCUGUAUAAACACAAACCCUAUUAAAUCAUGACUACAGUGAAUCUAAUGGACAUUUUCACUGUUAAAGGUACAAUAUGUAAAAUUUUUGCAGUAAAAUAUCCAAAAACCACUAGGCUAGUGUUAUAUAUU